UACUCUUCGGGGUUGUAGGACUGCAAUGUGGACUCAAAGAUUAUAGAAGAAUGAUUUGGGAAGAUCAGCCAAAGAGAGUAAUAGCCUCGUAUUUAAAAUAGUCUUUGUACCUAGCAGUAUCCUGAGUACGGCGGGACACGUGAAAUCCCGUCGGAAUCUGGGAGGACCAUCUCCCAACCCUAAAUACUCCCUAGUGACCGAUAGUGAACCAGUACCGUGAGGGAAAGGUGAAAAGCACCCCGGGAGGGGAGUGAAAUAGAACCUGAAACCGUGUGCCUACAACAAGUUCGAGCCCGUUAAUGGGUGAGAGCGUGCCUUUUGUAGAAUGAACCGGCGAGUUACGUUAUGAUGCGAGGUUAAGUUGAAGAGACGGAGCCGUAGGGAAACCGAGUCUGAAUAGGGCGCCUUAGUAUCAUGACGUAGACCCGAAACCAUGUGACCUACCCAUGAGCAGGUUGAAGGUGCGGUAAGACGCACUGGAGGACCGAACCAGGGCACGUUGAAAAGUGCUUGGAUGACUUGUGGGUAGCGGAGAAAUUCCAAACGAACUUGGAGAUAGCUGGUUCUCUCCGAAAUAGCUUUAGGGCUAGCGUCGACAUUAGAGAUUCUUGGAGGUAGAGCACUGUUUGGGUGAGGGGUCCAUCCCGGAUUACCAAUCUCAGAUAAACUCCGAAUGCCAAUGAAUUAUGGUCGGCAGUCAGACUGCGAGUGCUAAGAUCCGUAGUCGAAAGGGAAACAGCCCAGACCACCAGCUAAGGUCCCAAAAUAAUUGUUAAGUGGAAAAGGAUGUGGGGUUGCACAGACAACUAGGAUGUUAGCUUAGAAGCAGCUAUUCAUUCAAAGAGUGCGUAAUAGCUCACUAGUCGAGUGACCCUGCGCCGAAAAUGUACCGGGGCUAAAACAAUUUACCGAAGCUGUGGAUACCUUUAUAGGUAUGGUAGGAGAGCGUUCUAUGUGUGAUGAAGGUAUACCGUGAGGAGUGCUGGAACGCAUAGAAGUGAGAAUGCCGGUAUGAGUAGCGAAAGACAGGUGAGAAUCCUGUCCACCGUAAGACUAAGGUUUCCAGGGGAAGGCUCGUCCGCCCUGGGUUAGUCGGGACCUAAGGAGAGACCGAAAGGUGUAUCCGAUGGACAACAGGUUGAUAUUCCUGUACUAGAGUAUGUAGUGAUGGAGGGACGCAGUAGGCUAACUAAAGCAGACGAUUGGAAGAGUCUGUCUAAGCAGUGAGGUGUGAAUUGAGUCAAAUGCUUAAUUCUAUAACAUUGAGCUGUGAUGGGGAGCGAAGUUUAGUAGCGAAGUUAGUGACGUCACACUGCCAAGAAAAGCUUCUAGCGUUUAAACAUACUCUACCCGUACCGCAAACCGACACAGGUAGUCGAGGCGAGUAGCCUCAGGUGAGCGAGAGAACUCUCGUUAAGGAACUCGGCAAAAUGACCCCGUAACUUCGGGAGAAGGGGUGCUGACUUAAAGUCAGCCGCAGUGAAUAGGCCCAAGCAACUGUUUAUCAAAAACACAGCUCUCUGCUAAAUCGUAAGAUGAUGUAUAGGGGGUGACGCCUGCCCGGUGCUGGAAGGUUAAGAGGAGUGCUUAGCGUAAGCGAAGGUAUGAAUUGAAGCCCCAGUAAACGGCGGCCGUAACUAUAACGGUCCUAAGGUAGCGAAAUUCCUUGUCGGGUAAGUUCCGACCCGCACGAAAGGCGUAAUGAUUUGGGCACUGUCUCAACGAGAGACUCGGUGAAAUUUUAGUACCUGUGAAGAUGCAGGUUACCCGCGACAGGACGGAAAGACCCCAUGGAGCUUUACUGCAGUUUGAUAUUGAGUGUCUGUACCACAUGUACAGGAUAGGUAGGAGUCUAAGAGAUCGGGACGCCAGUUUCGAAGGAGACGCUGUUGGGAUACUACCCUUGUGUUAUGGCCACUCUAACCCAGAUAGGUGAUCCCUAUCGGAGACAGUGUCUGACGGGCAGUUUGACUGGGGCGGUCGCCUCCUAAAAGGUAACGGAGGCGCCCAAAGGUUCCCUCAGAAUGGUUGGAAAUCAUUCGCAGAGUGUAAAGGUAUAAGGGAGCUUGACUGCGAGAGCUACAACUCGAGCAGGGACGAAAGUCGGGCUUAGUGAUCCGGUGGUUCCGUAUGGAAGGGCCAUCGCUCAACGGAUAAAAGCUACCCUGGGGAUAACAGGCUUAUCUCCCCCAAGAGUUCACAUCGACGGGGAGGUUUGGCACCUCGAUGUCGGCUCGUCGCAUCCUGGGGCUGUAGUCGGUCCCAAGGGUUGGGCUGUUCGCCCAUUAAAGCGGCACGCGAGCUGGGUUCAGAACGUCGUGAGACAGUUCGGUCCCUAUCCGUCGCGGGCGUAGGAAAUUUGAGAGGAUCUGCUCCUAGUACGAGAGGACCAGAGUGGACUUACCGCUGGUGUACCAGUUGUCUUGCCAAAGGCAUCGCUGGGUAGCUAUGUAGGGAAGGGAUAAACGCUGAAAGCAUCUAAGUGUGAAACCCACCUCAAGAUGAGAUUUCCCAUGAUUAUAUAUCAGUAAGAGCCCUGAGAGAUGAUCAGGUAGAUAGGUUAGAAGUGGAAGUGUGGCGACACAUGUAGCGGACUAAUACUAAUAGCUCGAGGACUUAUCCAA
rnacentral:rRNA from 1 species